CCUACGGGAGGCAGCAGUGAGGAAUAUUGGUCAAUGGGAGGAAUCCUGAACCAGCCAUGCCGCGUGAGUGAAGACGGUUUUCGGAUUGUAAACCUCUGUCCUCUGUGAAGAUAAUGACGGUAGCAGAGUAGGAAGCUCCGGCUAACUACGUGCCAGCAGCCGCGGUAAUACGUAGGGAGCAAGCGUUGUCCGGAUUUACUGGGUGUAAAGGGUGCGUAGGCGGCUUUGCAAGUCAGAAGUGAAAUCCAUGGGCUUAACCCAUGAACUGCUUUUGAAACUGCAGAGCUUGAGUGGAGGAGAGGUAGGCGGAAUUCCCGGUGUAGCGGUGAAAUGCGUAGAGAUCGGGAGGAACACCAGUGGCGAAGGCGGCCUACUGGGCUCUAACUGACGCUGAGGCACGAAAGCGUGGGUAGCAAACAGGAUUAGAUACCCCAGUAGUC
rnacentral:rRNA from 1 species